rnacentral:rRNA from 1 species
GCGGUAUCUCUGACCGUGCGAAGGUAGCAUAAUCAUUAGUCUUUUAAUUGAAGGCUUGUAUGAAAGGUUGGACGAGAGAAAAACUGUCUCAGUUAAAAACUUGAAAUUAACUUUUAGGUGAAAAGGCCUAAAUAUAUUGAGAAGACGAUAAGACCCUAUAAAUCUUAAUACUAAUUAAGUUUGAACUUUUAAUUUAUAUUUAAAAAAAGUAUCAGAGUUUUUGUAUUUUGUUGGGGCGACAAAAAUAUAGAAAAAUUAUCUGUUUUAAGUCAAAUACAAUUUUUUUUGUUUAGAAUAAAGAUCCUAUAUAAAGAUUAAAAGAUUAAGUUACUUUAGGGAUAACAGCGUUAUUUUCCUUGAGAGUUCUUAUCGAAAGGAGAGUUUGCGACCUCGAUGUUGAAUUAAAAUUUCUCUAUGGUGCAGCCGCUAUAGGAGAAAGUCUGUUCGACU